rnacentral:rRNA from 1 species
AGAUUGAACGCUGGCGGCAUGCCUUACACAUGCAAGUCGAACGGCAGCACGGACUUCGGUCUGGUGGCGAGUGGCGAACGGGUGAGUAAUAUAUCGGAACGUACCCUAGAGUGGGGGAUAACGCAGCGAAAGUUGCGCUAAUACCGCAUACGAUCUACGGAUGAAAGUGGGGGCUCGCAAGACCUCAUGCUCGUGGAGCGGCCGAUAUCUGAUUAGCUAGUUGG